rnacentral:rRNA from 1 species
CAGUCGCCGCGGGAAUACAGAGGGUGCGAGCGUUAAUCGGAUUUACUGGGCGUAAAGCGUGCGUAGGCGGCUUUUUAAGUCGGAUGUGAAAUCCCUGAGCUUAACUUAGGAAUUGCAUUCGAUACUGGGAAGCUAGAGUAUGGGAGAGGAUGGUAGAAUUCCAGGUGUAGCGGUGAAAUGCGUAGAGAUCUGGAGGAAUACCGAUGGCGAAGGCAGCCAUCUGGCCUAAUACUGACGCUGAGGUACGAAAGCAUGGGGAGCAAACAGGAUUAGAUACCCGCGUAGACCCUGUCUCUUAUAC